rnacentral:lncRNA from 10 species
UCAAAGUGCUGGGAUUACAGGCGUGAGCCACUGCGCCCGGCCGGCUAUUAUUAUUCUUAAGUGUGGCAUCUCAGGAUCUGAACUCCCACCUCUGAGAUGCAUCAUCCCUUUGUCACAUGGAAGGAAAGCCUGUAGUGUUUGCUGCCUCCUGUUUCCUGCCCCUUUGUUCGCAAGUACACUCGUCUUUUUUUGUUUGUUUCAACAGUAGAAAGAAAUGCAUGUCCUUUUGGAACUUAAGACGAAAGAUAAUUGUGAUUGGAGUUUUCCCACACCAUAAGGUGUGCCUUGUCUCCUGCAGGGCGGGUCAUCUGUGGGCUGUCCUCCACUUCCUCUGGGUGCUGAGUGAGCAACAGUGAGCAACAGCAGCUCUGGCUCAGAAUUGCUUCAGCUGUUUGGGCUCUUUUUUGGUUUCCCGUGAAUUUUAGAAGUUUUUCCUAGUUCUGUGAAAAAUGACAUUAGUAGCUUGAUAAGAAUAGCGCUGAAUCUAUAGAUUACUUUGGGCAGUAUGACCAUUUUAAUGAUGUUGGUUCUUCUAAUCUAUGGGCAUGGAGUAUUUUUCCACUUGUUUGUAUCAUCGAUAAUUUAUUUCAACAGUGUUCUGAAGUUCUACUUGUAGAGAUCUUUCACCUCCGUGGUUAAAUUCCAAGCAUCUCCAAGCCUCUACCCCAAGUUAGCUCCAGGGAUUGGGAGCAACAAAGGGCUCUCCCUCAGCCUUGGAUCCCCAGUGGAAAGAAGAGUCAUAGAGGGAGGCUCUCUGCCUCUUUCACAUACUGGGGCUUCACUCACCUUAUCCGCCUGAUGCCAGCAUGGGGGCUUUUUGCCUGAAUUCUCCUUCCUGGGAUCUGAGGUGUCCUUCACAAUUCUUGUGGAUUUCCCAUUUUUCUUCUUAAAUUAAAGCUCACAGAGUUUAUCUUUAUGAAUUUCCAAGUGGCUAAGACAUGCUAAAAGCCUCUAAUUCACCAUCCUGGAAAAAGAGAUAUAAUAGUUUGAAAUACAAAGGUUAAUGCUGAAAAAUACACACACACACACAACUAGAAGAGUUGAAAAUGCCUUUAGGGGAGGAAAUGAAUGAGGUUCAGGGCAGGGGCAGGAACUGCUGUUUUUCAUGAUAAGUCUUAUAGAGCUAUUCGGCUUUUCAUAUAACAUUCAUGUAUAUCCUUAAAAGAAAUUAGAAUUACAUUUAAAGAACACCUGCAGGCAGAGGCCGGGAAUGUGCAGGUCAUACUUGGAUAAUGCUUCAUGUUGUAUUUGGUAGAAAUGGAAAAUCAAACAUCGUAUGUUCUCACUGAUAUAUGGGAGCUAAGCUAUGAGGACACAAAGGUAUAAGAAUGAUGUAAUGGACUUUGGGGACUUGGGCGGAAAAAUGGGAGGGGAGCGAGGGACAAAAGACUACAAAUAUGGUGCAGUGUAUAGUCUUCAGGUGAUGGGUGCGCCAAAAUCUCACAAAUCACCACCAAAGAACUUACUCAUGUAACCAAAUACCACUUGUACCCCAAUAACUUAUGGAAAAAUAAUUUUUUUUUGAGACAGAGUCUCACUCUGUCACCCAGGCUGGAAUGCAGUGGUGACAUCUUGGCUCACUGUUCCCAGCUGAACAAAAAUCUGGUUAUAUAAUCCAGGGCAAGUGAUUUAAACAGCCUCAUGUGCCUCAUUGGUACUAACAAUGCUUCACAGGGAUGAAAUAAGAAAUUCUCUUCUGCUCUUUCCAUGGUCUCCCUCUGAUGCCGAGCCGAAGCUGGACUGUACUGCUGCCAUCUCGGCUCACUGCAACCUCCCUGCCUGAUUCUCCUGCCUCAGCCUGCCGAGUGCCUGCGAUUGCAGGCGCGCGCCGCCACGCCUGACUGGUUUUCGUAUCUUUUUGGUGGAGAUGGAGUUUCACGCUGUGUUGGCCGGGCUGGUCUCCAGCUCCUAACCGCAAGUGAUCCGCCAGCCU